GUGAAUGUGUAUCCGUACAAUGGGUUUAUGGUGAGUGAUUUCUCUGUAUUGUGUGUAGCCACUUGUGAAAGUGUAUCCGUACUAUGGGUUUAUGGAGUGACAAGAUUUAUAAAAGAUAUUGAAUUUAUGUUGGGUAAAACCCCAGCACCAACAACAUAUUGGUUGUUUUGUUGGGUGUCAGCUUCACAACUUCUUAAGGUCUGUUUGCAUACCGUCUAAUCGAGUAUGUACCACCUAAAGUAAAAGAUGGAGUAUUUUUCCCAGAAUUCGCCCAGAUUAUUGGAUGGAUAGUGACUGCCGUAGUGUCAUGUCCUAUACCUUUGUACUUUGUUUAUAAAUUCAUCAUCACUCCUGGGAAAGUCACUGAAAGACUUAGAAUAGUAACAACGCCAACAGCUGACUGGGGACCUAAUACCAAGGAAAAAUUAUACAAUGCUGACUCACAGUUAACAGACAUUGGAAAAGCAGCUUACGCUUAUGACAAUCCAGCUUCACAAUUAUAAACUAUAGCAAUAUUACAAUCAUAAAGAUUGUUUCUCUUUGAAGUAUAUUUCAAAAUGAAUUUAUCACACAUAGUUUCAGGGUACUUGUAUAACAAAGAAAUGCAGAGCUAUUUUUAAUUUUUACUCAAUAGUGGAGAAUUUUGUGAAUAUGACAGAAAACCAUCACAAAUAUAUUGUAAAUAGGUUUUCUCCCUGACUUUUUUCAGUAUUUUAAUCAAUUCCUACAUAAUUUUAGUGCUGAAUUUUGAAAUGUACAUAGUUUUACAUCUUUUUACUAUAUAAAUGCAAGAUUUAUAAAAUGUUUUUAAAGUGAAUUUAUGGAUUCAGUUUGAAAAAUUACAUUUCUUUAAUUCUAUAUGACAUUAUUUUUUAACUUAAAACUCCUUCAUUUUUUAUAAGUGAUUUUUUUAAAAGGGAUGAAUUGAGAAAUUUUAUGAUUUUAAAUUUUGUUUUGGUUAAAGACUGCUUGUUUUUAAAGAUGAAUAUUAAAGAUAGAAUUGUUAUAAAACUAAAUACAAAAAUCUGCCUUUCUGAAAGUAGAAUGAAGUUAUAAAGUAAAAUAAUCAUUUUGCUAAUAUUUCAAAUGUUGCAUACAAUAGAUACCUGAUUUGUGUUAUUUAUUUUUAGGAACCAAUUCAUUGAAAUGUUGUAAUUAAAGUUUUGUCUUCUCUUGAUUGUACUGCAUUUUCAAUACAGAAUGAACUGUGUUUUCAAUGCAGGUUAACUUUGCAUCUCAAACUUUAGUUACACAAAUUAUUAAUCAUCCAGAUUUACCUUAAUUGAGAAAUUUUAAAUUUUGGAAGCAACGAAACAAUAUUUUCUUUUUUAGUUUGAAUCAUCAAAAAGAUUUUUUUACAAAAUUAAUGAGAUUUAUACCAGAAACAAGGGAGUAUUUAAUAAUCAUGUCUGCAUUAGUUUGAUAUAAAGAUGUUCACACUUUCAUGACAUUCCUUUAAAUUAUGACCUUUUUAUAUGUAUAUAAUUUCCCUUCUACAAUUUUAUAGUUGUUAAACAUAUCAAACAAGAUUUUUUUACAAAUUAUAUAUAUCUACAUUUGUACAUAUCAUGUAUAUCAUUUCAUAACAAGGAAAGAUCUAUGUUUUGCUGAUUAAUACAUAUUAGGUCUGAAUUUGUCUAGUUUUAUUAUAUAGAUUGGGCAACGGAUUCAUGUGGUAAUUUUCUUGUAUCCAUGUUUCCAAAUAUUACAUUAACUAUUAAAAGUAGAUUGAAACUAAAAUUCCUAUUAGUCUAUAUAUUUAACUUUGUUUGGUAUGACUUUACAUGUUACAAAAUCAUUCUGUUACUGAUAACUGUCCAUAGUAAUUACACUAAACAAGUAACUUAAAAAACAUGUAACA